rfam:Toxocara canis scaffold872, whole genome shotgun sequence.
GCGGCAGCAGCUCAGUGGUAGAGCCUCCGCUUCACAUGCGGGGAGACCUAGGUUCGAUUCCCGGCUGCUUCC